GGUUAAGCGACUAAGCGUACACGGUGGAUGCCCUGGCAGUCAGAGGCGAUGAAGGACGUGCUAAUCUGCGAAAAGCGUCGGUAAGGUGAUAUGAACCGUUAUAACCGGCGAUGUCCGAAUGGGGAAACCCAGUGCAAUUCGUUGCACUAUCGUUAACUGAAUACAUAGGUUAACGAGGCGAACCGGGGGAACUGAAACAUCUAAGUACCCCGAGGAAAAGAAAUCAACCGAGAUUCCCCCAGUAGCGGCGAGCGAACGGGGAGCAGCCCAGAGUCUGAAUCAGCUUGUGUGUUAGUGGAACGGUCUGGAAAGUCCGACGGUACAGGGUGAUAGUCCCGUACACCAAAAUGCACAGGCUGUGAACUCGAAGAGUAGGGCGGGACACGUGGUAUCCUGUCUGAAUAUGGGGGGACCAUCCUCCAAGGCUAAAUACUCCUGACUGACCGAUAGUGAACCAGUACCGUGAGGGAAAGGCGAAAAGAACCCCGGCGAGGGGAGUGAAAAAGAACCUGAAACCGUGUACGUACAAGCAGUGGGAGCACCUUCGGGUGUGACUGCGUACCUUUUGUAUAAUGGGUCAGCGACUUAUAUUCUGUAGCAAGGUUAACCGUAUAGGGGAGCCGCAGGGAAACCGAGUCUUAACUGGGCGUUAAGUUGCAGGGUAUAGACCCGAAACCCGGUGAUCUAGCCAUGGGCAGGUUGAAGGUUGGGUAACACUAACUGGAGGACCGAACCGACUAAUGUUGAAAAAUUAGCGGAUGACUUGUGGCUGGGGGUGAAAGGCCAAUCAAACCGGGAGAUAGCUGGUUCUCCCCGAAAGCUAUUUAGGUAGCGCCUCGUGAACUCAUCUUCGGGGGUAGAGCACUGUUUCGGCUAGGGGGUCAUCCCGACUUACCAACCCGAUGCAAACUACGAAUACCGAAGAAUGUUAUCACGGGAGACACACGGCGGGUGCUAACGUCCGUCGUGAAGAGGGAAACAACCCAGACCGCCAGCUAAGGUCCCAAAGUCAUGGUUAAGUGGGAAACGAUGUGGGAAGGCACAGACAGCCAGGAUGUUGGCUUAGAAGCAGCCAUCAUUUAAAGAAAGCGUAAUAGCUCACUGGUCGAGUCGGCCUGCGCGGAAGAUGUAACGGGGCUAAACCAUGCACCGAAGCUGCGGCAGCGACACUAUGUGUUGUUGGGUAGGGGAGCGUUCUGUAAGCCUGCGAAGGUGACCUGUGAGGGUUGCUGGAGGUAUCAGAAGUGCGAAUGCUGACAUAAGUAACGAUAAAGCGGGUGAAAAGCCCGCUCGCCGGAAGACCAAGGGUUCCUGUCCAACGUUAAUCGGGGCAGGGUGAGUCGACCCCUAAGGCGAGGCCGAAAGGCGUAGUCGAUGGGAAACAGGUUAAUAUUCCUGUACUUGGUGUUACUGCGAAGGGGGGACGGAGAAGGCUAUGUUAGCCGGGCGACGGUUGUCCCGGUUUAAGCAUGUAGGCUGGUUAUCCAGGCAAAUCCGGAUAAUCAAGGCUGAGGUGUGAUGACGAGGCACUACGGUGCUGAAGUAACAAAUGCCCUGCUUCCAGGAAAAGCCUCUAAGCAUCAGGUAACAUCAAAUCGUACCCCAAACCGACACAGGUGGUCAGGUAGAGAAUACCAAGGCGCUUGAGAGAACUCGGGUGAAGGAACUAGGCAAAAUGGUGCCGUAACUUCGGGAGAAGGCACGCUGGUGUGUAGGUGAAGCCCCUGCGGGUGGAGCUGAGACCAGUCGAAGAUACCAGCUGGCUGCAACUGUUUAUUAAAAACACAGCACUGUGCAAACACGAAAGUGGACGUAUACGGUGUGACGCCUGCCCGGUGCCGGAAGGUUAAUUGAUGGGGUUAUCCGUAAGGAGAAGCUCUUGAUCGAAGCCCCGGUAAACGGCGGCCGUAACUAUAACGGUCCUAAGGUAGCGAAAUUCCUUGUCGGGUAAGUUCCGACCUGCACGAAUGGCGUAAUGAUGGCCAGGCUGUCUCCACCCGAGACUCAGUGAAAUUGAACUCGCUGUGAAGAUGCAGUGUACCCGCGGCAAGACGGAAAGACCCCGUGAACCUUUACUAUAGCUUGACACUGAACAUUGAGCCUUGAUGUGUAGGAUAGGUGGGAGGCUUUGAAGCGUGGACGCCAGUCUGCGUGGAGCCAACCUUGAAAUACCACCCUUUAAUGUUUGAUGUUCUAACGUUGGCCCCUGACCGGGGUUGCGGACAGUGUCUGGUGGGUAGUUUGACUGGGGCGGUCUCCUCCCAAAGCGUAACGGAGGAGCACGAAGGUUAGCUAAUCCUGGUCGGACAUCAGGAGGUUAGUGCAAUGGCAUAAGCUAGCUUGACUGCGAGCGUGACGGCGCGAGCAGGUGCGAAAGCAGGUCAUAGUGAUCCGGUGGUUCUGAAUGGAAGGGCCAUCGCUCAACGGAUAAAAGGUACUCCGGGGAUAACAGGCUGAUACCGCCCAAGAGUUCAUAUCGACGGCGGUGUUUGGCACCUCGAUGUCGGCUCAUCACAUCCUGGGGCUGAAGUAGGUCCCAAGGGUAUGGCUGUUCGCCAUUUAAAGUGGUACGCGAGCUGGGUUUAGAACGUCGUGAGACAGUUCGGUCCCUAUCUGCCGUGGGCGCUGGAGAAUUGAGGGGGGCUGCUCCUAGUACGAGAGGACCGGAGUGGACGCAUCACUGGUGUUCGGGUUGUCAUGCCAAUGGCACUGCCCGGUAGCUAAAUGCGGAAGAGAUAAGUGCUGAAAGCAUCUAAGCACGAAACUUGCCCCGAGAUGAGUUCUCCCUGAGACUUUAAGUCUCCUGAAGGAACGUUGAAGACGACGACGUUGAUAGGCCGGGUGUGUAAGCGCAGCGAUGCGUUGAGCUAACCGGUACUAAUGAACCGUGAGGCUUAACCUU
rnacentral:rRNA from 1 species